rnacentral:rRNA from 1 species
CAGAGUCACAUGACUCAUUUCCCUCCCCGCUCCUCUCGGUCCUGCUUGGGAGAGGGCAUUUGGAUCGCGGGGUCCGGGUUAGGUGAGGCAGGAGCUCGGGGUGCGGUAAGAAGAAGGGAGAGGUGCGGCAGGCCGGAGGGGACGAGGUGCUGGGAGGCGGAGUCCCGGAGGGCGCGGCGGCGGAAGAGAAGGCCCGGAGAAGAGGCUGCGAGCUCCACGUCGGCCCCGCUGGAGGAGGAGGAGAAGGAGAGGAGGAAAGGACCUCCCCUCGGCUGGAUGUCCAUUUCCCGCUGCCGCCGCCGCGAGCUCGUCUACUCUCCCUCUCUCUCCAUCCACGUCGCUCCGCUGCCUGCCCUCUCCCCGCUCCCGCUCGAGGUCGCGCUCGCGCGCCUGGGCAGUGGGUGCGGCCGUUCCAGGAGCCGGGGUUCGACGCGGAGAUGGUGGCGCUUCCGCUGACGACGCUGGUGCNNNCCUCUUUCUUCUUCUGGUCCGUACAAGAAACAGAGAUGUAGGUUGCAGGUGUGCCGAUCUAGCUGCCCAGAUUUGAGAACUACAUCGUGUAACACACAUACUUAGUACCACUUACAGUUCGGAUGAAUCCAGUAUGGGUUCAUUCCACUCAUAUCUACAUAUCAUGAAUCCAGUUCGGAUGAAUACAAAAAGAUAUCAAUUUCACGUACACACAACGACACUACAUAUAUUCACUUUCCCUUGUUUUUUCUUACCCUCUUCCCUCGAAGAACGAAAGGAAAAAGGGAAAACAAAGACAAACUAUUAAUGAGUAGCUAGGACUACGAACUCAUAAAAGAUUGGAGGGGACAAAAUAAGAAAACCACGAUGAACCUGUAAAGAUUACAGACAAAAAAACAAAAGAAAGACUUAUGUCUUUCUUAUUCGAUGAUCGUAAGGAUUACACGUUCAUUUGGAUGACCCUAAUGCUGACCUUUUUUUAGUACUGUACGCUCGUUAAGAGUUAAAUCUAUGACACUCGAAUUUAUUGUUCUCGAUUUGACAGCACGGUACAAGUCUUAACCAUUAUCUUUUCUAUUAGAUUUGCGUGUAAUACUUUGAUAGAUCUGAGGACGGAAACCCCUUAAUCCAACGAUUCAUAAUAAAACAUUUAUUUACUGUACGAUUGAACGACCAAGUCAAAUUUCGAUAUCCGUCCCCGAACGCCAUCCCCCCCCCCCAUAGUAACACCGUCAACUUUUGGUUUUGCAAAUAAGUACUCACAUACUAGACCUGUCGCGAAAAGACUUUCAUACAAUGCUAGGACGAGAACCCUCUAAUUCGACAACACCAUAACGAACCAUUUAUUAACCGUACGAUUUUGCAACCAACAACAAAGGCACCACCCCUGGUUAUUAUCUUUCUUCCACGAAGGAAUCUACCAACCAAUCCAGCACCCACGUCGUUCCUUUCCCGGUGGACUACUGCCAAGACCUGAACUCCAGAUUGUUUUUCAUAACCAGUCACAUCACAAAAGACCAAAGAACUAGUCACACAGUCUCCGGUACUUAAUAAAAGUACAAACGUUUCAAAAAAACCCUAACAUAAACAUUUCAUAUGGGGCCAACUCUCCGAUCCUCCCUAUAACGACUUGUUUAUAUAGACUGAAGAACUUACAGACAUGUCAAUCAGUCUCUACUUUACUGUUCGUCGAGAGGACGCAGCAAGCUCUUCUUUUCUUUUGUUUUAUGCUCCUAAUAUAUUAGGGUGAAAUACGAAUGGCAAUCAGGCUCUAAUUCACUAAUAAACACGGCGCCAGCGAUGUUGUUUAGUAGAUUUUAUUCGAUGAUCGCAAAAAAAAUUAGGUUCGAAAGAACGAAUCUUAAUCUAUUAUAUGCGGACGAAGUAUGUAUAAUAAGAAAGACUCUCCCCGUACUAGUAGUACUUUAGUUGUUUAAUAUAUGCAUACACACUUAGCAAAGAUCUGUGUUUCUCCUUGUAAGGUGACAUAUUUAGCAAGAUCUCGAUAAUCGACAUCAGGUAACAUUCCAUGUUGGAAUCAAAAUUUGUAGUAUGAUUGUCUAUACAUAACCUUAAAAUUACAAAGUUGAAGAAACUUGGUAGAUAAAAGAACGUGAUCUUAUAACGUUACCUCAAAAGUCAAAGAUUUACCUAAAGGUCUAGACUCUGUCUUAUCUUCUCUUUUUUUAAGGAUACCUUCUCAAACUGCUCUUGUUCUUAAAACGUUACCCCUUAAAUAGGUGUUUCGAACAGAACAGUACACAUCCGAUGCGCUGAUAUGUGGUCGUACCGGUCAAUAUUCCCGUGGGACCUACCUGUGUGACUUCUAGGGAGAACGACACACCUUGUGCGGUGCGAACUGCUGCAGAGGCAGACCCUCACCAGACCAAGACGGAUACUACUUCCUCGACUUCGUCGACUUACCGAGAGGUGGAUAAAGCCCUUCGGUACAGCCGAGCACACAAAAUUUCUUCCACAUGCGGAACGAUACAAGAAGGUUUUGUUUUAUAUGGAACCUAUGGACAGUUUUUCAUAAAUCUUUUACAAAAGAGUUACUCUAGCAGAGACCAUGAAUACCUCUUUCAGAGGAAAGGUACGAAAAGUAUCUCAGGCUUUAAUCCGGCUGAUUAGGACUCAUACGAGUUCCGACGAGUGGAAGUGCCUAACGAAGGGCAAGGACUAUCGUAGGGUCCCGAGUAACUUACGUGAUUUACUCCAAGAAUUUCUUGGACAUGGUUAGUUAGCGAGGUCUGGUUUAUAAAAUCAACUACCUACGGUGGGCGUACCUAUCCUAUACACCUUUGGGUAUUUCUAUUUGUUCGAUAGUAAACUGUCCCACUUCAAUACGCUGGCAACGUUCAAUCGGCGUUACCUUUUUCAGUCCUAGAGUUGUUUCUUGGAAGACCUGCUAUACUACGUCGUCGAACCGGAAGGUUUGCGUCGCAUGAGUUGUAUCUUCCGUUCCUGCCAACCAGUUGGUAAGUGAUAGGUAGUUUCGUGGUUGACCUGUUGGCUGAAGGUUCCUAUAGUUAUAGGUAAAUGCACAUGCCAUUUGAGUUUCUUCGAAUUCUAGCUGGCCGUUGAUUUCGAGAGUUCAUCAGGUUCACUUCACUUCCUUGAAAUAGCGUAUUAUUUAUGUUUGAGGUGUCGUUCUAGUUGUGGGUUUCGGUUGUUAGACUUUGUAUAAAGCAGUGUCUAUUCUAUACAACGACUAGCAGAAUUGCUAUAUUCAAAUGUUAGUCUUUGGCAAUAUAUCUUUUGUUUGUUCAUAAUAACUUCGUACUUACUACUAUAACUUCCUUAAAGACGAGACUCGUUACGUCCGGUACUUCUUGUUGUAGAUACUUCUGAACGGAGUUUCUUUAACAAGAUUUGUAGGUUGCUAUGUAGACAGUUUACAUCGAAUCGAGACGGAUAGAUGUACGGAACGAGUAUUGUAACAUUUACUAACAAACAUUCGAAGAAUCUUUUGUACAUAGUAGUCGUUGGUAGAUAGAUAGUAGUUAAGCAUGAAUAAAAGUAUACAAAAGAAAACACAGAUGUAUAAAACUACGAGUGAGAAAGUUAUCAACCGAACGAGAGCCGGAAACGCGGUACCCGCGUUGCUCAGUAGAUCAUCAUCAUCUCGAUCUCUAUCCCCACAAGCGACCGCCAGUACCUGGCCGGGUCAGUCUCCGGCGGACACGCUAUUCUCGCCGUGUAUCCUCCAGGGGCAGAUUUGGAGUUGAAACAAGCUGUAACAAAUUUCUUGCGACACUUCAAAUC